rnacentral:rRNA from 1 species
UACGUAGGGUGCAAGCGUUGCCCGGAUUUAUUGGGCGUAAAGGGCGCGCAGGCGGCUACGCACGUCCGUUGUGAAAUCGCUCGGCUCAACUGGGCGGGGUCAGCGGAUACGGCGUAGCUGGAGCAAGCUAGGGGGCAAUGGAAUUCCCGGUGUAGUGGUGGAAUGCGUAGAUAUCAGGAGGAACACCGGUGGUGUAGACGGCUCACUGGACCGUAACUGACGCUGAGACACGAAAGCGUGGGUAGCAAACAGG